rnacentral:rRNA from 1 species
AUUGAACGCUGGCGGAAUGCUUUACACAUGCAAGUCGAACGGCAGCACGGGGGCAACCCUGGUGGCGAGUGGCGAACGGGUGAGUAAUGCAUCGGAACGUGCCCGGUCGUGGGGGAUAACGUAGCGAAAGUUACGCUAAUACCGCGUACGAUCUGAGGAUGAAAGCGGGGGACCUUCGGGCCUCGCGCGAUCGGAGCGGCCGAUGUCAGAUUAGGUAGUUGGUGGGGUAAAGGCCUACCAAGCCGACGAUCUGUAGCUGGUCUGAGAGGACGACCAGCCACACUGGGACUGAGACACGGCCCAGACUCCUACGGGAGGCAGCAGUGGGGAAUUUUGGACAAUGGGCGCAAGCCUGAUCCAGCCAUUCCGCGUGCAGGACGAAGGCCUUCGGGUUGUAAACUGCUUUUGUAUGGAACGAAAAGGCUCUGGCUAAUACCUGGGGCUCAUGACGGUACCGUAAGAAUAAGCACCGGCUAACUACGUG